AUUGAACGCUGGCGGCAGGCCUAACACAUGCAAGUCGAGCGGAUGAAGGGAGCUUGCUCCUGGAUUCAGCGGCGGACGGGUGAGUAAUGCCUAGGAAUCUGCCUGGUAGUGGGGGAUAACGUCCGGAGACGGGCGCUACUACCGCAUACGUCCUGCGGGUGAAAGUGGGGGAUCUUCGGACCUCACGCUAUCAGAUGAGCCUAGGUCGGAUUAGCUAGUUGGUGGGGUAAAGGCCUACCAAGGCGACGAUCCGUAACUGGCCUGAGAGACUGAUCAGUCACACUGGAACUGAGACACGGACCAGACUCCUACGAGAGGGAGCAGUGGGGAAUAUGGGACAAUGGGCGGAAGCCUGAUCCAGCCAUGCCGAGUGUGUGAAGAAGGUCUUCGGAUUGGAAAGCCCUUUAAGUUGGGAGGAAGGGCAGUAAGUUAAUACCUUGCUGUUUUGACGGUACCAACAGAAUAAGCACCGGCUAACUUCGUG
rnacentral:rRNA from 1 species